GGGAAGGAAAAGCAGUAUGUGAACCUACUUCAUUCUUUGGACUUGACAUUCUAGAUCUGUUAUCAAUUUUUUAGCGUGCCCUUCUAGAACCGAACAACUGUAGGAUAUAGUUUCAUGUCAUUUUGUUCAAAUUUUUAACCUUUGAUUUUCAGUGACAGAAACUUUGGCCACUCUUUUUACAUUAAGUUGGGUAAGUUCUAAAACAUAUAUGUGGCGAUUCUGCUAGAAGUAUCAAACUAGGCAGUUCUAACAUCUGUGGUUGGUCUUGGAAAUCCGAAGCAUGAAAACACAGUAACAAAUGAUCAUCACGUUGAUGUAAACUAUUGAGAUCUUUGAGUCUUCUCUCAGUGAUGUUUUAAGCUUCAAAUAGGAUUAUUUAUGGAACCACUUUAUGUUAGUUUUCUCAUGCCAGUCAUACAAUUGAGGAAGAAAAAUGAGAAGUACAGACUGUCAAUAUUAAAUUGGACUUGUAUCUCUUUGAAGGACAUUGAAUUUUCCUCCAAGUUGGUUUGAUACAUCAUUGAGCCUUGACGCUGAUAAAAACUGAUUGAAUGGCAGAAAAUAUGACCUUGGUAAUGCGUGUACUCCCCUCAUCAGUAUGGUAAAAUGCACUUAUUUUUUCCUCAAAGAUCACAAACAAUUCUUAAUCUAAGAACUUAUGUGUGAUAUCUAAUAAAUUUUAACUUUUCACAUGUUUCUUUCUUGUUUUAUUUUUACUUUGUACUACCUAAUAGAAGAUCUAGAGAUCUUUGUGAAUCUUUUGGGGAUGUUGAAAGCUUGAAAUUACUUCCUGUUAACCUUAUCACAGUUAUCUCUUCUUUGUAUCUUUUACCCUAGAUUUUUCUGGCUGACCUGGUUAAGUUACCUUGAUACACUGUAAACUAUAUAGUAACAUUUAGCCAUUUACUAAUUAAGUUAAUAGUGUUGUUUGCUUACACAGGAGCUUCUCCAGGAAAGGGUACAGGCGCAACAAUGUCCGAUGAUGAAGAUGAGCAGGUGGAGAGUGAUGCCAAUUUGUUUGAUGGAAGUUUAGAUGGUCAUGAUAGCAUGGGCUUUGGUCUCCCAACAGAGAGUGAGAGGGUUACAAGGAAAAACUUGUGGAUAUAAGGGAGGAAAUUCUUCGAAAGAGAAGGGCAGGAAAACUCCCUGGCGAUACUACCUCCGUCUUGAAAGCUUGGUGGCAAUCACAUUCAAAGUGGCCAUACCCCACUGUAAGCUUUUAAUUCUCAAUUUUCGUGACCUGCAGACUAAUUAAAUAGCAUCAGUUGUACGUUAGCACUCUUGUGAGUACAGAAAUGAUCACAAGAAAAGUAUAAUUCACCCAAACUGAAGCUUUAAUUGGUUCAGGUGAUGAACCCGGAAACACAUUCUUUUGCGCGUGGUGUUUUCUUUUAAGAUAAAUUUUGUGCUAAUAAUUCAAAUGAAUCGUCAUCUAUGACCAGUAACAUGUAAUGCAUCUAGUGGCUUUCACUUGGUAGAUCCAAAAGUUAACUUGGCGUUAGCUAGAAGUUUGAAAAAUUCGUCUAGAUAUAGGCAUAACUUUUUUCUGCUUAUUGAAAUUGUGCUCCUACUGUACUAAAUAGUGACACUGGAUUUUCUUUUGUGGUUAAUUUGUACUUAUGCAAGAGGAAGACAAGGCUAAGCUGGUACAAGAGACAGGCCUUCAGCUAAAGUAGAUAAAUAAUUGGUUCAUCAACCAAAGAAAAAGGAACUGGCACAGUAAUCCUUCCUCUUCUACAGCUUUGAAGAGCAAACACAAGAGGUGAAUCUGAAAUAUUAUCAUUCAAGGGAAGGUAUAGUCAAGUUAUUAGCACGCAAAGCUUCCUUGGAUAAUUUUUGUUCGUGUGUCCAGCUCAAUAAGCAUAUGUGCUGUUGAUGAUACAACACUAUAUACGUAAUAGAUAGAAAUAUGGACUCAUUCAGUUAAAG